AUAACGACUCUCGGCAACGGAUAUCUCGGCUCUCGCAUCGAUGAAGAACGUAGCGAAAUGCGAUACUUGGUGUGAAUUGCAGAAUCCCGUGAACCAUCGAGUCUUUGAACGCAAGUUGCGCCCGAAGCCUUCGGGCCGAGGGCACGUCUGCCUGGGUGUCACG
rnacentral:rRNA from 1 species